rnacentral:lncRNA from 1 species
UUGCUGUUUAGGCAACUUGGCCCUUCCACCCUUUGGACCCUUCUAUCCUGUGGGCUUUGGAGAAUCCAAACUAACCGGGAGUAAAAGGGGUCCCCCAGCACAGCACAGCUGCUCUACCAAAAUGUGAGCAGACUGCUCCUUUAGGCAAGUCCCCAAUCCAUUCCUCCUCACUGGGCAGGACCUCCCAACCCUCACUGGAGGCCCUCCCAGGGUCUACCUGGUCCCAACCAGGGUCUAUAGCCACUUCAUACAGGUGCCUUUAGACCAGCAAUAGGUCUAUACCUUCCUGGGACAGAGCUCCCAGAGAAAGAGGCAGGCUACCAUCUUUGCUGUUUCACAGCCUUCACUGGUGAUACCUCCAGGUACUGGAAAAUCCAAGGUGACUAGAAACUGGAGUAUACCCCCAGAAACUGGAGCAGACCCCAGACAGCAGCCCUACAAAAAGAAUGAAAAGGAACAAACAAAACCAUCAAGAAAUAUGAAAUUAUAUAAAGAGACUGAAUCUAAAACCAAUUGGUGUACCUGAAAGAGAUGGAGAGAAUGGAACCAAUUUGGAAAACAUAUUUUAUGA